GACGAACGCUGGCGGCGUGCUUAACACAUGCAAGUCGAACGGUGAAGCACCUUCCUUUUGGUGGGUGUGGAUGAGUGGCGAACGGGUGAGUAACACGUGAGUAACCUGCCCCCUUCUUCUGGAUAACCGCAUGAAAGUGUGGCUAAUACGGGAUAUUCUGGGUCUGUCGCAUGGCGGGCCUGGGAAAGGUAUUGUUUCGGGGGGGGAUGGGCUCGCGGUCUAUCAGCUUGUUGGUGGGGUGAUGGCCUACCAAGGCGGGGACGGGUAGCAGGCCUGAGAGGGUGGACGGUCACACUGGGACUGAGACACGGCCCAGACUACUACGGGAGGCAGCAGUGGGGAAUAUUGCACAAUGGGCGCAAGACUGAUGCAGCGGCGCCGCGUGAGGGAUGGAGGCCUUCGGGUUGUAAACCUCUUUCGCCAGUGAAGCAGGCCUGUCCCUUUUGUGGGUGGGUUGACGGUAGCUGGAUAAGAAGCGCCGGCUAACUACGUG
rnacentral:rRNA from 1 species